rnacentral:rRNA from 1 species
AUACGUAGGGGGCGAGCGUUGUCCGGAAUGAUUGGGCGUAAAGGGCGCGUAGGCGGCCCGGUAAGUCUGGAGUGAAAGUCCUGCUUUUAAGGUGGGAAUUGCUUUGGAUACUGUCGGGCUUGAGUGCAGGAGAGGUAAGUGGAAUUCCCAGUGUAGCGGUGAAAUGCGUAGAGAUUGGGAGGAACACCAGUGGCGAAGGCGACUUACUGGACUGUAACUGACGCUGAGGCGCGAAAGUGUGGGGAGCAAACAGGAUUAGAUACCCUGGUAGUCCACACUGUAAACGAUGAAUGCUAGGUGUAGGGGGUAUCGACCCCUUCUGUGCCGCAGUUAACACAAUAAGCAUUCCGCCUGGGGAGUACGGCAGCAAGGUUGAAACUCAAAUGAAUUGGCGGGG